rnacentral:lncRNA from 1 species
GUCCUUCUGCUGCACCACUAAAAUUCAAUAGUGGUAUCAGAGCAAGUCUUGAUCCAUAUAAUCAAAGGUUAAAUUAUUGUCUUGAUUGUGAUCAAGCAUGGGUUUUUGGUUUGGUUCAAGUUGGGUCUAGAGUUGAACCCGAUUGAACAUCCAAACCCUAGCAUGUCUUAGAGAUAUGUUUUAAAUGUUAAAUACAUGAUGUAUGUAUAGAAUCUUUCUUAGUAGUUUAGUACUCUAAUUGAAAUUCAUCACU